CCUACGGGUGGCUGCAGUGAGGAAUAUUGGUCAAUGGGCGCGAGCCUGAACCAGCCAAGUAGCGUGAAGGAUGACUGCCCUACGGGUUGUAAACUUCUUUUAUAAAGGAAUAAAGUGAGGCACGUGUGCCUUUUUGUAUGUACUUUAUGAAUAAGGAUCGGCUAACUCCGUGCCAGCAGCCGCGGUAAUACGGAGGAACCGAGCGUUAUCCGGAUUUAUUGGGUUUAAAGGGAGCGUAGAGGGGUUGUUAAGUCAGUGGGGAAAGUUUUCGGCUCAACCGUAAAAUGGCAAUUGAUACGGGCAGUCUUGAGUACAGUUGCGGUCGGCGGACUUCGUGGUGUAGCGG
rnacentral:rRNA from 1 species